rnacentral:rRNA from 1 species
AGUGAACGCUGGCGGUAGGCCUAACACAUGCAAGUCGAACGGCAGCACAGUAAGAGCUUGCUCGUACGGGUGGCGAGUGGCGGACGGGUGAGGAAUACAUCGGAAUCUACUUUUUCGUGGGGGAUAACGUAGGGAAACUUACGCUAAUACCGCAUACGACCUACGGGUGAAAGCAGGGGAUCUUCGGACCUUGCGCGAUUGAAUGAGCCGAUGUCGGAUUAGCUAGUUGGCGGGGUAAAGGCCCACCAAGGCGACGAUCCGUAGCUGGUCUGAGAGGAUGAUCAGCCACACUGGAACUGAGACACGGUCCAGACUCCUACGGGAGGCAGCAGUGGGGAAUAUUGGACAAUGGGCGCAAGCCUGAUCAAGCCAUACCGCGUGGGUGAAGAAGGCCUUCGGGUUGUAAAGCCCUUUUGUUGGGAAAGAAAAGCAGCAGGUUAAUACCCCGCUGUUCUGACGGUACCCAAAGAAUAAGCACCGGCUAACUUCGUG